CAUGCAAGUCGAACGAAGCACUUUAUUUGAUUUCCUUCGGGACUGAUUAUUUUGUGACUGAGUGGCGGACGGGUGAGUAACGCGUGGGUAACCUGCCUUGUACAGGGGGAUAACAGUUGGAAACGGCUGCUAAUACCGCAUAAGCGCACAGCAUCGCAUGAUGCAGUGUGAAAAACUCCGGUGGUAUAAGAUGGACCCGCGUUGGAUUAGCUAGUUGGUGAGGUAACGGCCCACCAAGGCGACGAUCCAUAGCCGACCUGAGAGGGUGACCGGCCACAUUGGGACUGAGACACGGCCCAAACUCCUACGGGAGGCAGCAGUGGGGAAUAUUGCACAAUGGGCGAAAGCCUGAUGCAGCGACGCCGCGUGAGCGAAGAAGUAUUUCGGUAUGUAAAGCUCUAUCAGCAGGGAAGAUAAUGACGGUACCUGACUAAGAAGCACCGGCUAAAUACGUGCCAGCAGCCGCGGUAAUACGUAUGGUGCAAGCGUUAUCCGGAUUUACUGGGUGUAAAGGGAGCGCAGGCGGUGCGGCAAGUCUGAUGUGAAAGCCCGGGGCUCAACCCCGGUACUGCAUUGGAAACUGUCGUACUAGAGUGUCGGAGGGGUAAGCGGAAUUCCUAGUGUAGCGGUGAAAUGCGUAGAUAUUAGGAGGAACACCAGUGGCGAAGGCGGCUUACUGGACGAUAACUGACGCUGAGGCUCGAAAGCGUGGGGAGCAAACAGGAUUAGAUACCCUGGUAGUCCACGCCGUAAA
rnacentral:rRNA from 1 species